rnacentral:lncRNA from 1 species
AAAUAUUAAUCAAAUUAAAAAAGCCAAAUUACUUGGAAUGGAGAGUAGUAAUGGGGAAAGCCAAAAGAGUAAAGAAAAUGGAGUGAAAUUGGAAUACUUCAACAAAACUAGGUUGGACCAAAGAGACUGGAGGAGACAACGACGCCUUGGUGGUUUAAAGAGGAACGACGAGAGAGGUGAACACUUCACUGGUUCAAAAUGAAAGACAAAAUUAGGUGAUGAGGAUAGAAGAACAACAAAAAAACAAUGAAUGAAGAAGUGACUGAGAGAGACAAAAUAAUAUGAUGGAAAGGAAUAUCGAUCUAGAGUAAACUUGCAAUGAAAAUAGGUGGUGUUAUAGUGUGCUUCAACAACGGGCAUACGAGAGAAGAAUUAUACAUACACAAAAAAGUGGAAAAGUAAACAUUUUUAACUAUGGUCAACUAUAUCACAACGGUUAAGUAACCAAACCGUUAUUAUUUUUUAGUUCCACAACGAUUAUAUGUCAAACCUUUGUGAUUUUUGAAACUUCCACGAUGGUUUCUAAGAAAACCAUCAUGAUUUGACUUUUUCAAAAUUUUAACUUCAUUGUAUUUUUAAAUAUGCUACUGCGUUUUUGUUUCAAUAUGUUAGUGCGGUGAACUUCAUAAAUCAACUUCGUUGAUGAGAUUUUUUGCACUAAUGAAUCAUAGAUUCACUAAGUGGAUAUAAACUCUUUCGAUACUAGUAUUAUAAUAAUAUUCAGAUAAGUGUAAGUCUAAGUUUUGUAUUAAAUAAAAAAUUAAGUAAUAUAUAAAAAAAAUUCAUAAAAAUAUAAUCUUAGUAGAAUUUUAGAUUAAAGGUAGUAUAUAUAAAUUCAUGUUUCAUGAUGUUUUCUAAUAAAUUUUUCCCCAAAAAUCCAUCAUAUAAAUAUAUAGUUAUAAUUUAUGUAUUAAAGACUUCAAAUCUAUCAUUAUAUAUGUAGUUUACGUAAUGCUUAUUCGAGUAUGUAUGUAUGUAGAUGGAAAAGAAAUGUAAGUAUGUAUAAAAAUUCCACUAAAAGUGAUAAACAGAUUUAAAGAAAAUAGACAAAAGAAAAAUGACAUAAAGGCAAAGAAGGUUGGAACAGGUAAAGCAAGAAGAAGACAUAGGGCACAUCAAAAGCAAUGGAAGCAGUUAAAUUAGUACGGAGUACAGAGAUCACGUCUUUAACUUUUUACUCGUUUAUCAAUGGCCUUUGAGCAAUGAUAAUAAUAUGUACACCAAACAGACCUUUAUUUAUUUAAUAAUAAUAAUAAUAUUAUUAUUAUUAUUAUUAUUAUUAUUAUUUUUUCUAUGUGGGGGAUCCAACAUAAUGUUUGCUUGCGUGAAUAGGCAAUUGCUGGUUGGGUUGGUUGUCAUCGGAUACAUACAAAAGCAUCAUAUUCCCUACCCAAACUUUUGUUCUUUUUAUUUUAUUUUGUGAGUUUAAAGUUGUUUGAGGCAGUAUUUUUGUUGUGUUGUGGUCCUUGCUUCAGUUGAUAACAUAUAUUAUAUUAUUGAAAUGAUGGAAUGCGAUAUUCAUGAACCCAAAGAAGGCAAAAAUGGAGAUGACAAUGAUCAAUGAUUGAUUGAUACGUAGGCAAGCAUU